rnacentral:lncRNA from 1 species
GCGGUUCUCCUGCCUCAGCCUCCUGAGUAGAUGGGAUUACAGCUUCCGACUCUGAUGAACUCACACAAACCCCAAAGAGAAACACUGGCUCUGAAGGAAACACUUCAAUUGUGUCCCUCUGAUACUGGUAAGCUCUGUUGGAAAAGUCAGAGGAGUUGGACUCUUAAAAGCCAACUGUUGUGAAAACACAUCAUCGUCGUCUGUAGAUGUUUUCUGAAGCAUGCAUCCAGCUAUUUUAAUCUCUCCAAAGUGAGUGGAUCACUAAGCCACAACCCUCUGGAUGAUAUGGUCUAUUGAUGGCAAGUGAAGGUUUGGGUAAAUGGUGAGGGUGGGGAAUGGUAUUUCCCUUUCCUGUCAGGUUUCUCUAGUUCCUUGACCUGAAACAAGUGUUGGGAUUUUCUCUGAAAAGGCCCGUUUAGGGCUCAGAGGGUCAGUAUUCUGAGCAGCCCAGCUGGACUAGGAUUAAAGGAUAGAUGAAUAGCACAUGAAGAAUUUUGAUGGACACGUUUAGGCCUCCCUUGGUCCACUGAACAAGACUUCUGGAAAUAAAAUGAGCCUUUUCAACA